rnacentral:rRNA from 1 species
CAGCAGCCGCGGUAAUACGGAGGAUCCAAGCGUUAUCCGGAAUCAUUGGGUUUAAAGGGUCCGUAGGCGGUCUUAUAAGUCAGUGGUGAAAUCUCCCCGCUCAACGGGGAAACGGCCAUUGAUACUGUAGGACUUGAAUUAUUAGGAAGUAGCUAGAAUAUGUAGUGUAGCGGUGAAAUGCUUAGAGAUUACAUGGAAUACCAAUUGCGAAGGCAGGUUACUACUAAUGGAUUGACGCUGAUGGACGAAAGCGUGGGUAGCGAACAGGAUUAGAUACCCUGGUAGUCCACGCCGUAAACGAUGGAUACUAGCUGUCCGGGUACUUGGUAUUUGGGUGGCGCAGCUAACGCAUUAAGUUAUCCGCCUGGGGAGUACGGUCGCAAGAUUAAAACUCAAAGGAAUUGACGG